rnacentral:rRNA from 1 species
UACAGAGGGGGCAAGCGUUGUUCGGAAUUACUGGGCGUAAAGGGCGCGUAGGCGGCCGCCUAAGUCAGACGUGAAAUCCCUCGGCUCAACCGGGGAACUGCGUCUGAUACUGGGUGGCUUGGAAUUCGGGAGAGGGAUGCGGAAUUCCAGGUGUAGCGGUGAAAUGCGUAGAUAUCUGGAGGAACACCGGUGGCGAAGGCGGCUCACUGGCUCAUUACUGACGCUCAGGCGCGAUAGCGUGGGGAUCAAACAGG